rnacentral:rRNA from 1 species
AUUGAACGCUGGCGGCAGGCCUAACACAUGCAAGUCGAACGGUAACAGGAAGAAGCUUGCUUCUUUGCUGACGAGUGGCGGACGGGUGAGUAAUGUCUGGGAAACUGCCUGAUGGAGGGGGAUAACUACUGGAAACGGUAGCUAAUACCGCAUAACGUCGCAAGCCCAAAGAGGGGGACCUUCGGGCCUCUUGCCAUCGGAUGUGCCCAGAUGGGAUUAGCUAGUAGGUGGGGUAACGGCUCACCUAGGCGACGAUCCCUCGCUGGUCUGAGAGGAUGACCAGCGACACUGGAAGUGAGACACGGUCCAGACUCCUACGGGAGGCAGCAGUGGGGAAUAUUGCACAAUGGGCGGAAGCAUGAUGCAGCCAUGCAGCGUGUAUGAAGAAGGCCUUCGGGUUGUAAAGUACUUUCAGCGGGGAGGAAGGGAGUAAAGUUAAUACCUUGGCACAUUGACGUUACCCGCAGAAGAAGCACCGGCUAACUCCGUG